rnacentral:tRNA from 1 species
GCGGGAGUGGCUCAGCGGUAGAGCAUCUCCUUGCCAAGGAGAGGGUCACGAGUUCGAAUCUCGUCUCCCGCUCCA